rnacentral:rRNA from 1 species
AGGGCCUCAGUAACGGCGAGUGAAGCGGCAACAGCUCAAAUUUGAAAUCUGGCCGCAAGGUCCGAGUUGUAAUUUGCAGAGGAUGCUUUUGGCGAGGUGCCUUCCGAGUUCCCUGGAACGGGACGCCAUAGAGGGUGAGAGCCCCGUACGGUUGGACCACCGAGCCUCUGUAAAGCUCCUUCGACGAGUCGAGUAGUUUGGGAAUGCUGCUCUAAAUGGGAGGUGUACGUCUUCUAAAGCUAAAUACCGGCCAGAGACCGAUAGCGCACAAGUAGAGUGAUCGAAAGAUGAAAAGCACUUUGAAAAGAGGGUUAAAAAGUACGUGAAAUUGUUGAAAGGGAAGCGUUUAUGACCAGACUUGGGCUUGGUUGAACAUCCGGCGUUCUCGCCGGUGCACUCUGCCAGUCCAGGCCAGCAUCAGUUUGUCCCGGGGGAUAAAGGCGGUGGGAAUGUGGCUCCCCCGGGAGUGUUAUAGCCCGCCGUGCAAUGCCCUGGGACGGACUGAGGAACGCGCUUCGGCACGGAUGCUGGCGUAAUGGUCAUCAACGACCCGUCUUGAAACCACGGACCA